AUCAACAGAAGAAGCACCGGCUAACUACGUGCCAGCAGCCGCGGUAAUACGUAGGGUGCGAGCGUUAAUCGGAAUUACUGGGCGUAAAGGGUGCGCAGGCGGUUCUGUAAGUCAGAUGUGAAAUCCCCGGGCUUAACCUGGGAACUGCGUUUGAAACUACAGAGCUAGAGUGUGGCAGAGGGGGUGGAAUUCCAUGUGUAGCAGUGAAAUGCGUAGAGAUAUGGAAGAACAUCGAUGGCGAAGGCAGCCCCCUGGGUCAACACUGACGCUCAUGCACGAAAGCGUGGGGAGCAAACAGGAUUAGAUACCCUGGUAGUCCACGCCCUAAACUAUGUCAACUAGUUGUCGGGCCUUAUUAGGUUUGGUAACGUAGCUAACGCGUGAAGUUGACCGCCUGGGGAGUACGGUCGCAAGAUUAAAACUCAAAGGAAUUGACGGGGAC
rnacentral:rRNA from 1 species